rnacentral:rRNA from 1 species
CAGCCGCCGCGGUAAUACGUAGGUGGCAAGCGUUGUCCGGAAUUAUUGGGCGUAAAGCGCGCGCAGGCGGUUCCUUAAGUCUGAUGUGAAAGCCCACGGCUCAACCGUGGAGGGUCAUUGGAAACUGGGGGACUUGAGUGCAGAAGAGGAGAGCGGAAUUCCACGUGUAGCGGUGAAAUGCGAAGAGAUGUGGAGGAACACCAGUGGCGAAGGCGGCUCUCUGGUCUGUAACUGACGCUGAGGCGCGAAAGCGUGGGGAGCAAACAGGAUUAGAUACCCUGGUAGUCCACGCCGUAAACGAUGAGUGCUAAGUGUUAGAGGGUAUCCACCCUUUAGUGCUGUAGCUAACGCAUUAAGCACUCCGCCUGGGGAGUACGCUCGCAAGAGUGAAACUUAAAGGAAUUGGCGGG